rnacentral:lncRNA from 1 species
AGAUGGUCCCCGAGCUCUCCCAAUAAAAGGAUUCCGCAGCGCGGCCUGUAUUAUUAUACCGUAAAUCUUUUUAAAUUCUGGAACUAAUUAUAUAGAGGAUAUGUCUCAAUUUGUUCUGCAUUAAUGCCACAGUGGGGAUAGAGGCCAGGCCGUGGCCAGAGCAGAUACUAGGCCCAUGAAAUUGAUGAACUGAGAGUUGCUUCCAGUCCUGAGCGCACCAUCUGGAAUUCCAGUCUGAGGUUACAAUUAGAACUCCUGACCCCAGAUUCAACUUUGCAAACAGG